GGAGGAGUAGCGAAGUGGCCAAACGCGGCUGACUGUAAAUCAGUUCCUGAGGGUUCGGUGGUUCGAAUCCGCCCUCCUCCACCA
rnacentral:tRNA from 1 species